rnacentral:rRNA from 1 species
GACGAACGCUGGCGGCGCGCUUAACACAUGCAAGUCGAGCGAAGCGGCGGACGGGUGAGUAACACGUGAGUAACCUGCCUUAGACAUUGGGAUAGCCUCGGGAAACCGGGAUUAAUACCAAAUGGUCUAAGAUGGACUCGCGUCCCAGUAGCUAGUUGGUGAGGUAACGGCCCACCAAGGCGACGAUGGGUAGCCGGCCUGAAAGGGUGAACGGCCACAUUGGAACUUAUAGACGGUCCAAACUCUACGGGUGGCAGCAGUGGGGAAUAUUGCACAAUGGCGGGAACUAUAAUGCAGCGACGCCGCGGGAACGAAGAAGGCGUUCGAAUCGUAAAGUUCUUUUAAAUGGGAAGCGGUACCAUAAGAAAAAGCCCCGGCUAACUACGUGCCAGCAGCCGCGGUAAUUC